CACUACAAAACAUAGAACUCAAAGUUUAUAAACUCAAAUCAAUUCCCAUAAAAGCAGGUAAGGUAUAAGAUUUAGUCAUUAUAAACUCAAAUCAAUUCCCAUAAAGUUUAUAGAACUCUCGUUCGCCAUUAAUUAAUCUUUAGGCUAACUAACUUAAAUAAAUUUGUAGAUUAUAUGGAAAUCAAAACAUUUCUUGGAUCAUCAUCAGAUCUCACAUUCACUUGUUUUGUUAAGAAAAUAUUUCCAUAAUGGGGGUCCAUAACUUUUACAAGAUAUUCUCCACGGUAAACUUGGCUCUCGUAGACUCCGUUGCUGUUUGUCACUCCCUCCAACUUCUUCGUCUUCCACUCUGUAAGCAGCUUAUCAACUACAU
rnacentral:lncRNA from 1 species